CUAACUAGUCUGCUAGCAGAAUAGGAUUCACCGAAAUCUGAUGCUUAAACUUCGAGUCUGCGUGGAACUGAUGGAGUUUAUCCAGGAUAGCCUUGUCCCGUAGAACAGGGACAAAUCUACUAACUUGACUGAUAUCAAAAGGAGAAAGAAUUCGGUACCAAGGAGAGGCACUUCGGUGAAAAUGAAAUAGGGCAGCAGGUGGUGGCGGGGAAAAUGUUGGCAGUGUCGGAACCUGGACUUGUACACACCAUGGAUAUGGGAGACAUCCCAUUAGCUGAGCUUGUGAUUCAGAUACGUUCACGCCCAAUGACCGAUGAUACUAAGUUUGACUGCCCACGGACUGACAGCCUAAAAAUGCUCCUAACAGAGUUGAAAUGCCUAUCAGAGGUCCAGCAAGGAUGUAAUGUCCCAUACAUUGACCCCUUUUGAUUGAAGACCAGCCAACUGAAUGCUCACAGAUUGGUGGUUAGUUAUUCCUCAUUCUAUUUUUUUUUGUAGCUAACAAAGAUAUACAUUUAGCCUAUGUUAAUGUAACUAGAUACGUGUAUAAUACUGAGUAUUUUAAUUGGUUUUGAAGUUUGACAUACAUACUUGAAAAU